UACGUAGGGUGCGAGCGUUGUCCGGAAUUAUUGGGCGUAAAGGGCUCGUAGGUGGUUUGUCGCGUUGUUCGUGAAAACUCACAGCUUAACUGUGGGCGUGCGGGCGAUACGGGCAGACUGGAGUACUGCAGGGGAGACUGGAAUUCCUGGUGUAGCGGUGGAAUGCGCAGAUAUCAGGAGGAACACCGGUGGCGAAGGCGGGUCUCUGGGCAGUAACUGACGCUGAGGAGCGAAAGCGUGGGGGAGCGAACAGGG
rnacentral:rRNA from 1 species